rnacentral:rRNA from 1 species
UACAGGGUGACAGCCCCGUACACAAAAAUGCACAUAUUGUGAGCUCGAUGAGUAGGGCGGGACACGUGGUAUCCUGUCUGAAUAUGGGGGGACCAUCCUCCAAGGCUAAAUACUCCUGACUGACCGAUAGUGAACCAGUACCGUGAGGGAAAGGCGAAAAGAACCCCGGCGAGGGGAGUGAAAAAGAACCUGAAACCGUGUACGUACAAGCAGUGGGAGCCUCUUAAUGGGGUGACUGCGUACCUUUUGUAUAAUGGGUCAGCGACUUAUAUUCUGUAGCAAGGUUAACCGAAUAGGGGAGCCGAAGGGAAACCGAGUCUUAACUGGGCGUUAAGUUGCAGGGUAUAGACCCGAAACCCGGUGAUCUAGCCAUGGGCAGGUUGAAGGUUGGGUAACACUAACUGGAGGACCGAACCGACUAAUGUUGAAAAAUUAGCGGAUGACUUGUGGCUGGGGGUGAAAGGCCAAUCAAACCGGGAGAUAGCUGGUUCUCCCCGAAAGCUAUUUAGGUAGCGCCUCGUGAAUUCAUCUCCGGGGGUAGAGCACUGUUUCGGCAAGGGGGUCAUCCCGACUUACCAACCCGAUGCAAACUGCGAAUACCGGAGAAUGUUAUCACGGGAGACACACGGCGGGUGCUAACGUCCGUCGUGAAGAGGGAAACAACCCAGACCGCCAGCUAAGGUCCCAAAGUCAUGGUUAAGUGGGAAACGAUGUGGGAAGGCCCAGACAGCCAGGAUGUUGGCUUAGAAGCAGCCAUCAUUUAAAGAAAGCGUAAUAGCUCACUGGUCGAGUCGGCCUGCGCGGAAGAUGUAACGGGGCUAAACCAUGCACCGAAGCUGCGGCAGCGACACUAUGUGUUGUUGGGUAGGGGAGC